UCAGUCGACUCCUACGGGGAGGCAGCAGUGGGGGAAUAUUGCACAAUGGGCGCAAGCCUGAUGCAGCCAUGCCGCGUGUAUGAAGAAGGCCUUCGGGUUGUAAAGUACUUUCAGCAGUGAGGAAGGUGGGUAUGUUAAUAGCAUACUCAUUUGACGUUAGCUGCAGAAGAAGCACCGGCUAACUCCGUGCCAGCAGCCGCGGUAAUACGGAGGGUGCGAGCGUUAAUCGGAAUUACUGGGCGUAAAGCGCAUGCAGGUGGUUUGUUAAGUCAGAUGUGAAAGCCCGGGGCGUCAACCUCGGAAUUGCAUUUGAAACUGGCAAACUAGAGUACUGUAGAGGGGGGUAGGAAUUUCAGGUGUAGCGGUGAAAUGCGUAGAGAUCUGAAGGAAUACCGGUGGCGAAGGCGGCCCCCUGGACAGAUACUGACACUCAGAUGCGAAAGCGUGGGGAGCAAACAGGAUUAGAUACCCUGGUAG
rnacentral:rRNA from 1 species